rnacentral:rRNA from 1 species
UACGUAGGGCGCAAGCGUUAUCCGGAAUUAUUGGGCGUAAAGAGCUCGUAGGCGGUUUGUCGCGUCUGCCGUGAAAAUCCGGGGCUCAACCCCGGACUUGCAGUGGGUACGGGCAGACUAGAGUGUGGUAGGGGAGACUGGAAUUCCUGGUGUAGCGGUGAAAUGCGUAGAUAUCGAGAGGAACACCUGCGGCGAAGGCGGGUUGCUGGGCUGAUACUGACGCUGAGGCGCGAAAGCCAGGGGAGCGAACGGG